rnacentral:rRNA from 1 species
UCUGGCGUCAGGAGUGAACGCUAGCGGCAGGCUAACACAUGCAAGUCGAGGGGCAACGCGAGUAGCAAUACUUGGCGGCGACCGGCGCAAGGGUGCGUAACGCGUGAGCAACAUGCCCGUAUCAGGGGGAUAAUCCAGGGAGACUUGGUCUAAUACCCCAUAGUAAUUUUGUAAGGCAUCUUAUAAGAUUUAAAGCUUUGGUGGAUACGGAUUGGCUCGCGUGACAUUAGCUGGAUGGUAAGGUAACGGCUUACCAUGGCUAUGAUGUCUAGGGGUUCUGAGAGGAAGGUCCCCCACACUGGAACUGAGACACGGUCCAGACUCCUACGGGAGGCAGCAGUGAGGAAUAUUGGACAAUGGAUGGAAAUCUGAUCCAGCCAUGCCGCGUGAAAAGGAAGAAGGUCCUAUGGAUUGUAAACUUCUUUUGUAUGGGAGCAAUAAGGCCUACGUGUAGGUUGAUGAGAGUACCAUACGAAUAAGCACCGGCUAACUCCGUGCCAGCCGCCGC